rnacentral:lncRNA from 1 species
CGGAUGACGGAUCGUACAUUUUGUUACUACGAAGUGUUACGGAUCCGAUGACGGAUUCGACAACGGAUCCGUAAUCGGAUUUUGACACUUAUGACAUUUUUACUUUCGUCGACCGCACUAUGAAAACCCAUUUGACAUAAAAUACAUCGUUUCUUCGUUCGGAUCUUAGCGUCAAUUUUACGAAAGCUCUAAGCCUUUCGUUUGGUUUUCGUUUGGUACUCCAGAGGUUUUAAAAUUGCUCAAUAACUCCUGUGUGAAGAAUUGUUGCAAUAGGAAAGUGCUGGGCGAAGUUGGAAGCGUCUCUAACUGCGUAAAACCUUCGUAACAUGGAAUUUGUAAGAACUUAUAGGACUUUGCCACCCCUUUUUGAAACCAUCUGCGAGGAUAUAGUUCCACUAAUUCCUCCAAAGAACAUAUACGGGGAAUUGAUACUACCACUAAGAAUCAAAUAAUUAAACAACUACUAACUCGCUAGAGCUGCCAUAACCAACACUGCAUCACGCAUGGAAGAUUAACUACCAAAUAUAUGUUAUCGGAAAA